GAUCAAGAGAUGAGAAAAAAAACUGCAACAAUAUGAUGGAUUUUAAUCCGUGAUUCUUGGUAUUUAAGUCUCUGAUGAUU